AUUAUAUCUAUGCAAUGCCUUUGCUCAGGUUAAAGAAUGGAAUAAAAGUCUAGCAUCAAAUGUAUAGCUAACUAUUUUAAUUUGUGAUCAGAGCAACUGAUCUCCGUUCAAUUUUUAUCAUCAAAAGUUAGCUCUACCUUCGCAGGACCUCUGCUCUACAUACCUCCUCUCUGGUUAAAGAAUGGAAUAUAAGUCUCAUUUAUCAAGUUGGUG